rnacentral:lncRNA from 1 species
CGAAAUCGUAUUUCACCUGAUUUUGUUUUUUUUUUGUUUUUUUAGCAAAGAUUUUAUUUUAUUUGUUAUAUUACAGAUAAUCAUGAUUCUUAAAAAGUUUUAGUUUUUUUUUAAUUAUUAAUUAAGAUAAAAUCAACUGGGCCGGUCCGUUGUGGUCCAUUAAUAAGUUGACAAAAACAUUAAGAUAAGAUUUUUCUCCUUUUUCCCAGUGAAAUCGUAUUUUAC